UCUCUCUCUCUCUCUCUCUCCGAGACUCACCCACGCACCUUUGUUGCUUGCUGCGGUUGACCUGCUGAUGUUGCUACUGUGCUGGCCAGAGAGUGAGUCAAGUGACAUACAUACACAAGAAAUAUUUAGUUAUGAGGAUUGAAGAAAUUAAUGAUCAUUCAGUCAUUGAGGAUUUGAGAAGAGACAUCAAUGUUCCAGUAGAGGUGUUAUUGAAGUUGUGGCUGUCAAUAGUCCUUUUAUUGAUGCUAAGUAUAUGGUAAGGAAAUAAUGCUAUAUGAUUUGCAUAUUUUUUGCUAUGAGAACUUCUGCAACUGAAACUCAAAGUUUAGGUGUUGAACUCAUAGUUUUGCAGUAGUUAGUUUUGUACUACUUUGUAUCAAAAUUGCAUCAGACCAUGCUGCACUGUAUUUUGAGCAUAGAAAAAUUACUUAACACCUUUAAUUUACAGAGCCUCACGUGUUUCAAGUAUGAAUAAGAACUACGAACUCUUUUUGUGCGAUUUAAAUACAUUUCCAGAGUUUUUAUUUGUUAGUACAUGUUGUCUAAAGUAACAUUUGCCCAGAGAGAGAAGCAUGCCCCUCUCUCGUUAUUAUUAUUAUUAUUAGAAGGUAUUAAAUUCAAAAUAAACAAUUUCAUUUACUUGAAGCACUUGAAAAGUUUGGUCGGUUGACUCCAGGUAUGAGCAGCUCCCGAGCUUGAUGGCUGGAUGUGUGCACACAUGUAAUGGGGUAUCAUGGUCAUGUUGCUUGGUGUGCAGAGGCAACCUCAUUUUUGGACCAAAAAGAGGGGCGAUGACGAUGAUGACUGGCUGAAACAAUCAUGUCUUGAGCAAUCAAGAUAGCCUUGGCUUGUGGGACUAAACAGAGCUGAAAAAGUCGGUGUCACCAUUGGAGUUUCCCUUAGAGCCUACCCUUACCUCUGUUGUAGCCUGCUUAAUUUUAUUGCCGAUGUUGGAUGAUAUGUGCCUUGGACGGUCGUUCUGAUGAGUGAUACUCUCGGACCAGGUCUAUUUCAACACACACGAACCCAUUGACCUCCCAUGUUCCUGGGGAGCGUUGCAUGUCGGAAAAUUUAGGGGUUGUGUCACACAAAGUUCUGCAUUGACACUUAGAAAGUAAGUGAAAAGCGAUAUGCCGUUUUUUGAGGCUAUCUACAAUCCCGUUAAAAGGCAACUGCUAAACACUAAAGGGCAAUGGAACUCAAUUUGUCGGUAUUCGCAGUUUGAUAAAUUAUAUUAGUAGUAUUUCUUGGAUUUAUAUAAGAAAAACAAAAAUAGUUACCUUUGUGUGAAUUACAGUGCUAAUGAUAAAUUCUUUGUAUCAGACAUGAAUGGACAUAUUCAAGAUUUCCUUUCACCUAGGCUUGGUUAGUUGGCCACUUCAAUUCCCACUUUCUGUCAUGUAAUCUUGAUGUCGAUAUUUCGACAUUACAUACAGAAUAUGAUGCAUUAUGUAGA
rnacentral:lncRNA from 1 species